UACGAAGGGGGGCAAGCGUUGUUCGGAAUUACUGGGCGUAAAGGGCGCGUAGGCGGCUUAUCAAGUCAGGCGUGAAAUUCCCGGGCUCAACCUGGGGGCUGCGCUUGAUACUGAUGAGCUUGAAUGCGGGAGAGGAUAGUGGAAUUCCCAGUGUAGAGGUGAAAUUCGUAGAUAUUGGGAAGAACACCGGUGGCGAAGGCGGCCAUCUGGACCGCAACUGACGCUGAGGCGCGAAAGCGUGGGGAGCAAACAGGG
rnacentral:rRNA from 1 species